GACGAACGCUGGCGGCGUGCCUAAUACAUGCAAGUAGAACGCUGAAGAGAGGAGCUUGCUCUUCUUGGAUGAGUUGCGAACGGGUGAGUAACGCGUAGGUAACCUGCCUGGUAGCGGGGGAUAACUAUUGGAAACGAUAGCUAAUACCGCAUGAAAUUGCUUAUCGCAUGAUAAUUGAUUGAAAGAUGCAAUUGCAUCACUACCAGAUGGACCUGCGUUGUAUUAGCUAGUUGGUGAGGUAACGGCUCACCAAGGCGACGAUACAUAGCCGACCUGAGAGGGUGAUCGGCCACACUGGGACUGAGAAACGGCCCAGACUCCUACGGGAGGCAGCAGUAGGGAAUCUUCGGCAAUGGGGGGAACCCUGACCGAGCAACGCCGCGUGAGUGAAGAAGGUUUUCGGAUCGUAAAGCUCUGUUGUAAGAGAAGAACGGGUGUGAGAGUGGAAAGUUCACACUGUGACGGUAUCUUACCAGAAAGGGACGGCUAACUACGUG
rnacentral:rRNA from 1 species